GGAGAGGUGUCCGAGCUGGUCUAAGGAGCACGAUUGGAAAUCGUGUGUACUCAAAAGGUACCGGGAGUUCGAAUCUCCCCCUCUCCGCCA
rnacentral:tRNA from 1 species